rnacentral:rRNA from 1 species
CUGCAGCCCGAGUGGUGAUCGAUUUUAUUGAGCCUAAAGCGUCCGUAGCCGGACUAGUAAACCCUUGGGUAAAUUGGGCAGCUUAACUGUCCAAAUUCCGAGGGGACUGCUAGUCUUGGGACCGGGAGAGGUCAGAGGUACUCAAGGGGUAGGGGCUAAAUCCUGUAAUCCUUUGGGGACCACCAGUGGCGAAGGCGUCUGACUGGAACGGAUCCGACGGUAAGGGACGAAACCCUGGGGCGCGAACCGGAUUAGAUACCCGAGUAGUCC